AGCCCCCAAAAAAAACCCAAAAAAAAAAAAAAAAAAAAAAAUCAAAAAAAAUAAUUUUCUUUUCGAAUUUUUCCCCUCCAUUCUAAAAUUAUUGUUU
rnacentral:ribozyme from 1 species